UUGCUCCUCUGACGUUAGCGGCGGACGGGUGAGUAACACGUGGAUAACCUACCUAUAAGACUGGGAUAACUUCGGGAAACCGGAGCUAAUACCGGAUAAUAUAUUGAACCGCAUGGUUCAAUAGUGAAAGACGGUUUUGCUGUCACUUAUAGAUGGAUCCGCGCCGCAUUAGCUAGUUGGUAAGGUAACGGCUUACCAAGGCAACGAUGCGUAGCCGACCUGAGAGGGUGAUCGGCCACACUGGAACUGAGACACGGUCCAGACUCCUACGGGAGGCAGCAGUAGGGAAUCUUCCGCAAUGGGCGAAAGCCUGACGGAGCAACGCCGCGUGAGUGAUGAAGGUCUUCGGAUCGUAAAACUCUGUUAUUAGGGAAGAACAAAUGUGUAAGUAACUAUGCGCGUCUUGACGGUACCUAAUCAGAAAGCCACGGCUAACUACGUGCCAGCAGCCGCGAUAAUACGUAGGUGGCAAGCGUUAUCCGGAAUUAUUGGGCGUAAAGCGCGCGUAGGCGGUUUUUUAAGUCUGAUGUGAAAGCCCACGGCUCAACCGUGGAGGGUCAUUGGAAACUGGAAAACUUGAGUGCAGAAGAGGAAAGUGGAAUUCCAUGUGUAGCGGUGAAAUGCGCAGAGAUAUGGAGGAACACCAGUGGCGAAGGCGACUUUCUGGUCUGUAACUGACGCUGAUGUGCGAAAGCGUGGGGAUCAAACAGGAUUAGAUAUCCCUGGUAGUCCACGCCGUAAA
rnacentral:rRNA from 1 species